GACGAACGCUGGCGGCGUGCUUAACACAUGCAAGUCGAACGGUGAAGCUCCAGCUUGCUGGAGUGGAUCAGUGGCGAACGGGUGAGUAACACGUGAGCAACCUGCCCCAGACUCUGGAAUAAGCGCUGGAAACGGCGUCUAAUACUGGAUACGAGAUCAAGCCGCAUGGUUAUAGUCUGGAAAGUUUUUCGGUUUGGGAUGGGCUCGCGGCCUAUCAGCUUGUUGGUGAGGUAAUGGCUCACCAAGGCGACGACGGGUAGCCGGCCUGAGAGGGCGACCGGCCACACUGGGACUGAGACACGGCCCAGACUCCUACGGGAGGCAGCAGUGGGGAAUAUUGCACAAUGGGCGAAAGCCUGAUGCAGCGACGCCGCGUGAGGGAUGACGGCCUUCGGGUUGUAAACCUCUUUCAGCAGGGAAGAAGCGAAAGUGACGGUACCUGCAGAAGAAGCACCGGCUAACUACGUG
rnacentral:rRNA from 1 species